GAUGAACGCUGGCGGCGUGCCUAAUACAUGCAAGUCGAGCGAAUGGAUUAAGAGCUUGCUCUUAUGAAGUUAGCGGCGGACGGGUGAGUAACACGUGAGUAACCUGCCCAUAAGACUGGGAUAACUCCGGGAAACCGGGGCGAAUACCGGAUAACAUUCUGAACCGCAUGGUUCGAAAUUGAAAGGCGGCUUCGGCUGUCACUUAUGGAGGGACCCGCGUCGCAAUAGCUAGUGGGUGAGGUAACGGCUCGCCAAGGCAACGAUGCGUAGCCGACCUGAGAGGGUGAUCGGCCACACUGGGACUGAGACACGGCCCAGACUCCUACGGGAGGCAGAAGUAGGGAAUCUUCCGCAAUGGACGAAAGUCUGACGGAGCAACGCCGCGUGAGUGAUGAAGGCUUUCGGGUCGUAAAACUCUGUUGUUAGGGAAGAACAAGUGCUAGUUGAAUAAGCUGGCACCUUGACGGUACCUAACCAGAAAGCCACGGCUAACUACGUGCCAGCCGCCGCCGUAA
rnacentral:rRNA from 1 species